CAAGUUUUAAAAAAAGACCCCGCGUGUCUACUAUAAAUGGUAUUCAGUGUGCUGCGAAGGGGGCUAUCAUAGUUAUAGUUUAUUUGGUAAUCUAAUUUACAUGGAUAACCGUGGUAAUUCUAGAUCAACACAUGCUCUAGAGCCCCACUUCUCGGAGUGGCCGUAUUUAUUUUUAACAGACCACAAGCUUCCGCUAUUGUGGUGUAUAAUAAUAACUAAUCAGAUCGCAUGGGCUACCCUCGCGACAAACCAUUAAAUUUUCUGCCCAAUCAUCUCUCAACGGUAGUGAAUGAACUAUAUGGCUUUCAGGGUAACGCAGGAUUAGGGUUCAUUCCGGAGAGGGAGCCUGAGAAACGGCUACCACAUUUAAGGAAGGCAGCAAGCGCGUAAAUUACCCAAUUCUGACUCAGAGAAGUAGUGACAGGAAAUAACAGAUGGGACUUUGUCCCGGCACUGCAUUGUUAUUUACUUACCCCCCCUUUCGAGUACCAAUUGGAAGA
rnacentral:rRNA from 1 species